rnacentral:rRNA from 1 species
UACAGGGGGCGCGAGCGUUGCUCGGAAUCACUGGGCGUAAAGCGUACGCAGGCGGACCGUUAAGUCGGAUGUGAAAUCCCAGGGCUCAACCCUGGAAGUGCAUUCGAUACUGGCGGUCUUGAGUACGGGAGAGGAGAGCGGAAUUCCUGGUGUAGAGGUGAAAUUCGUAGAUAUCAGGAGGAACACCGGUGGCGAAAGCGGCUCUCUGGCCCGAUACUGACGCUCAUGUACGAAAGCGUGGG